AUGAACCCACCGAUUUGGGUGCUCGAGGACAUGGACAGUUGGAUGCGCGCAUUUUUCUGGGGCGGCAAAGAUCAAGCGCAUGGUGGUCAAUGCCUUGUGGCAUGGAAUGCCAUUUGCAAACCACUGAGUUAUGGAGGGUUAGGAGUGAAGAAUCUGGGGUUGCAAGCUCUCGCACUGAGGGUGAGUUGGGAGUGGUUGAGGCGCACGGACGAUCAGAGGCCGUGGCAGGGCCUCCAGCUUAUGGUGGAGGAGGAAGCAAGGUUGGUGUUCGAUAGCAUGGUCAAGAUCAAAGUUGGCAAGGGUGAUAAGGUUCUAUUCUGGAGAGACAGAUGGAUUCAUGGAUUUGCAGUACACAACAUUGCUCCUACACUAGCCGGUGGCGUAGACACCAGAACGAGGAACGCAAGGACGGUUGAACAGGCGCUGAUCGGAGAGAGAUGGGUCCAUGAUAUUUUACCACAAACCUCCCUAGGCGCCUUGCUGCAAACUGUGCAUCUUAGGCACACAAUUGCCACAGUGCAAAGAGAUGAGUUGGCGAACGACAAGUUCACAUGGCCCCAUGACCAAUGCGGAGAAUACACAGCAGAAUCCACCUAUAAGCAACUUUGUCAAGGUGGGACUCGUGCCCCGAUGGCCACUGCGAUCUGGCGAAGGCACCUCUCAAAUGUAAGAUUUUCACUUGGUUGGCCGGGCAGCAUCGGUUGUGGACCUCGGACAAACGUGCACGUCAUGCUCUCUAGGAUGAGACUUCGGAGAGCUACACAUGCUUGCAGGAGGAGGAUACUGUAG
rnacentral:rRNA from 1 species